UUCCACUCAGGGUCAAAUCUGAAGAGUUUCCAGUACUCUAUCAGUCUUGACUAUGAGAGGGAGGGUCAAGCAGAGGCAUAUUCAUUGCAUUCCUAGCUUGGGCAGUGGCUAGCGAGUGGAAGGCAAUCUGCUACAAGU